AAAGAGAAGUGGAAUAAAAAUUAGAGUUGGGAUAUACAUCAAGUAGGGACCACAUGCUGUAGAAAUUCAUGUGUCACCUGCCUUUCUUUGACUUUAAGUAGGAAUUUUGCUUGUCCAUCCUUGUGGAAGUUACCGCAAAUUAGGGUAACAACAAAGCUAUACGUCGGUGCCUAGGAUAUUGUUAUAUGCCCAGAAAAUACGUGUUAAAUGAACUAUCUUUUAUGUGAUAGACCAAUUUCUUUUGAGUCUAUUAUAAUUUAAAUGUAUGUAAGAUUCUUGUUUAUUUUAUUUUAAAAGAAUAGGUUCCUUGUUAUAAAACUGAGGUUAGUUUGUAUGACUUAAUUGAGUAUCUAUGUUCUAAGCAAAGCAGUGGAUGAGUAUAGAAAGAAAAAGAGUCAUGCCAAAUUGUUCACGGUGGAAGUAUUUAGGGAUUUGGGAUUACUAGGAUCUCUUACUUUCCAUUUAUAUGAGGACAUAGUUACAUAUAUUUCUUUUCGUAUACAUUUAUUCAGUUUACUUUUUAACAGAGUGUGUAAACCUUACCAUUGGAUAUUUUUGUUUUCUUUAAUGUAUAAU